CAGCCGCCGCGGGAACACGUAGGUGGCAAGCGUUGUCCGGAAUUAUUGGGCGUAAAGGGCUCGCAGGCGGUUUCUUAAGUCUGAUGUGAAAGCCCCCGGCUCAACCGGGGAGGGUCAUUGGAAACUGGGAAACUUGAGUGCAGAAGAGGAGAGUGGAAUUCCACGUGUAGCGGUGAAAUGCGUAGAGAUGUGGAGGAACACCAGUGGCGAAGGCGACUCUCUGGUCUGUAACUGACGCUGAGGAGCGAAAGCGUGGGGAGCGAACAGGAUUAGAUACCCCUGUAGUCCCUGUCUCUUAUAC
rnacentral:rRNA from 1 species